rnacentral:lncRNA from 1 species
CGAAAAACGUGUUCCCUUCCUAUUAUUUCUUAGUAAUCUAAUGAUAUCCUAUUUUUUAAAGUUAUGUUAGAGGAUUCCAUGUUUAUGGACAUGCAACAUAUGUUUGUGCAUUUCAAUAUGAAAUCCCCUUUGAUGAAUCACAUACAAAUUUCAGACUCUAACGACGCAAUGUGUGCAGCAUGAAAUGCAGCAAUUUUUCCAGUUUCUAUAGCUGCAUUUUACUUAUGCUACUAAAAUUUUGUCUUCUGCUCAGAAACCUGCCACAAAGCCAUUAACACAGACUAGAAAACACUAUUUUAGAUGAAGUCCUUAAACUGUUUGCUGAUUUUCUCCAACACAGAUGGCUUUGCUGCCGUGCCUGCACCGGGAGAGCCUGGAUACAACCACGAGCCAGCGGCGGCCGAGGUGCUGGUGCAGUAAAGGUUAUGCUCCCCAGGAGUGGGUGGGAGCAGGCACGAGGUUUGCUUUGCAGAGUACACAGCCUUGUUUGAUGUUCGGGGCUCCUCCGCCAUCCUCCUGUACAGCCGUCCUCAUGGGCCGGGUGGUUCAGUAAGAGCACCAGAGAAAACAGGCUCUGAAGGAGGCAAGAGUUGUCACCGUGACAUCGUGCGGCAUCCAGGGGCUUGUCGCGGUGCAAGGCAGCCAGCACUGCCCAUCAGCAUGGCCUCAGGCCCCAGGGCAAAAGACCCCCGUCUCUGCCCGUCCUCGCUGUUUCACUGGGCAGAAGUAUUUGUGGAAAUAGCGCUGCUUUGCUGUUCAACGCGGUGCUUAAAACAAACUGGUCUUCCUAAUUUCACACCCGCUGACGUGAUGUGCAGAAGGUGCCUGGCAGCUCCCGUCUGCAAAACAAAGAAGAGCAGGAAACGUGAGCAGCCUCCACUUUCAAAGAAAAUUCAUUUUGGUGUUGAGGCACACGUUUAUUCCGGAAGAAAUCAUCAAGGGGGUUGCUAAAAAUAGAUUUGAAAUUACGGCGGAGAAUAAAGCGAUGCCACCCGUUUCCCUCCCCUUUGAG